rnacentral:rRNA from 1 species
AGAGUUUGAUCCUGGCUCAGAACAAACGCUGGCGGCGUGUCUUAAGCAUGCAAGUUGAGCGGCAAGGAGGAGAGAUCCUCCCUAGAGCGGCGGACUGGUGAGUAACGCGUGGGUAAUCUAUCUUAGGCAUGGGGAUAGUCACUAGAAAUAGUGGGUAAUACCGAAUACGUUCCAUGAGGGGAGUAUUCAUGGAAGAAAGGGUGCUACGGCACUGGCCUUAGGUGAGCUCGCGUCCCAUUAGCUAGUUGGUGAGGUAAAGGCCCACCAAGGCGAUGAUGGGUAGCCGGCCUGAGAGGGUGUACGGCCACACUGGGACUGAGAUACGGCCCAGACUCCUACGGGAGGCAGCAGCUAAGAAUAUUCCGCAAUGGACGAAAGUCUGACGGAGCGACGCCGCGUGGAUGAAGAAGGCCGAAAGGUUGUAAAGUUCUUUUGCUAGGGGAGAAUAAGUGAGGGAGGGAAUGCCCUCAUGAUGACAAGGACUAGCGAAUAAGCCCCGGCCAACUACGUGCCAGCAGCCGCGGUAACACGUAGGGGGCGAGCGUUGUUCGGAAUUACUGGGCGUAAAGGGCAUGUAGGCGGCUUGGUAAGCCUGGCGUGAAAGACUGCAGCUUAACUGUAGGGAUGCGUUGGGAACUGCUUAGCUUGAGUUACGGAGAGGGAGCUGGAAUUCCUGGUGUAGGGGUGAAAUCUGUAGAUAUCAGGAAGAACACCGAUGGCGAAGGCAAGCUUCUGGUCGAUAACUGACGCUGAGGUGCGAAAGUGUGGGGAUCAAACAGGAUUAGAUACCCUGGUAGUCCACACUGUAAACGAUGUGCACGAGGUGCUGGGGCGGUAGUUUCAGUGCCGGAGCGAACGCGGUAAGUGCACCGCCUGGGGAGUAUGCUCGCAAGGGUGAAACUCAAAGGAAUUGACGGGGGCCCGCACAAGCGGUGGAGCAUGU